rnacentral:lncRNA from 1 species
UGUAAAGUUGGUUGAAAAUGACUUUAAAGACAAUUGUCGACAACUUUAGGGUUGGGUGAUUUUUGGAACAAAUGCAAAGUAAGGGUUAUUUUGAACGGACAUAAACCGAGUUCACCGCUUUUCAACAUACGCACCAUUUUCACGAUUUUGUCAUUUAAAGCUUGGCUAAUGUCAUGAAUUUUCCCGCCCUUAUUGUAAGGAAACUGCAAUAAACAUCUGAGUAAAUGCCAGGACUUUCUGACAACCAGCGACAUGCAGUUUCGGG